AAGCAGCUGCUAUUUGGCCUCCGUGGGCGAGGAGAGCCGGGCCCCCGAGGUGGCCGAGUCCUCGGAGGGGGCAUGGUCCGGCCACUGGACCUGUGAGGCCGGGGGGGCCGGGGGAGGGGGCUUCGGGCCCCUCUGCAAGCCAGGAGAAUGGGAUGCUGUACUGGGCGCUGCACGCUCAUCUUCCUCUGCACUUUACAGCUCCUGGCUGCAUUAGAGAGACAAGUGUUUGAUUUUCUGGGAUAUCAAUGGGCUCCCAUCCUUGCUAAUUUCCUCCACAUCAUCAUCGUUAUCCUGGGCCUCUUUGGCACUAUUCAAUAUAGGCCUCGCUACAUUGUGGUGUAUGCCAUUUGGACAGCAAUUUGGGUAACCUGGAAUGUCUUCAUUAUCUGUUUUUACUUAGAGGUGGGAGGACUUUCAAAGGACAGUGAACUUCUGACCUUUAACAUCUCCCAGCACCAGUCUUGGUGGAGUGAAAAUGGUCCUGGCUGUGUGCGUAAGGAGACACCCAUGGCUGGAAUCAAGGACUUAGACAGUCAGUCCUAUGUCUCCGUGAUUGGUUGUGCGCUGGAGUAUCGAUACAUUGAGGUCAUGCACAGCUCAGUCCAGAUCUUGGUGGCGCUGGUGGGCUUUGUCUACGCCUGUUACGUUGUCAGUAUUUUUACAGAGGAAGAGGACAGCUUUGAUUUCAUUGGUGGAUUUGAUCCAUUUCCUCUCUACCAUGUCAAUGAAAAACCUUCCAACCUAUUGUUCAAGCAGACUUACCUGUGAGAGGGCAUGCUCUCCUGUGCCUGCUCUUCCCACGUACCUUGAACUGCAGAAGAGGGAACCAUCUGUAGGGGUCCCAGAGAGACUUGGUGUUCAUGACCACGUACUCCUUGGCCUCCCUGCUAGACUCCACACCAGGCCUGCGUAAGUAAAGAGGUUGCCACAUCUGGGGAAUCCCCACAGUGAGAAACUCAAGGUGCUGCGAGAAGAGAAGCCCUCCCACCUCACCCCUGCCGUCUUCCUUCAACCAUGGACAUUCAAGGUUGCUGAAAUCUACUCCACUUUUGCUUUCUAACAUGAUCAAUAUACACUGGCACGUGGCCACAUGAUUGCAGUUUCCACUUCCUCGAGCAUCCUGAUGAACCAUGCUGUGCUGCCACCAAAUCCCUACUAUGGACCCUGUUUUGAGACUCUCAGAACAACAUGAACAAGGCAGGAAAUGUUGGUAACUCAUCCUGCAAAGAAGAAGGAGUUGUUCAUGAUCUGAUUCCAGUUUUAGAAGUUGUGAAUUUUCCUUUAAAACUAAAACAAAAAAAAGCUACUACACCCAAAAAAGGAACAAUCCCAGCAUUCUCUAUCCUUACUGAAUGUUCCCUUCCUCCUUGCCUAUCAUAUGGGAUGCUAUUUGCCUUUAUGGAUAGAAUAGCUCUUUACUUUAUAGAUCAUUGUAAUGCAAAACCAAAAAGCAACGUCCCUCCUCCUAGCCUUGGUUCAUCUUAAAAUGCAUGCAUUUCCUCAAGGCUUUCCUGUUCCAAUGCACAGAUUUUUAGCUGAAAGUUCUGGAGUGGGGCUAUUGAGGGGCAAAGUCUUGAAAGGGAUGGGAGAGACAGGGAGAGGUAUUUGGGGAUGAUGUGUAUACACCCACGGUAAUGUAACAUCAUUCAUGGGCCACAGGUAUUAAAAUAGAAAACAAAUAAAUACAGUAAUCCAUAUGCUGUUCUAGAAACUGUGGUAAUUUUUUUGGCCAGUGGAAUCACCUUAGUCUCCAAAGAGAAACAAGUGAAGUUAAAUUGUCAGAAAGAUAUCUUAUUCAUUUCCUUAACAGGCUAUUCUACUAAAUAUGUAGUUUGAAAGUUGGUUAACAAGAAUUUUCUAAUUGCCCACAUAAUGCAUCUCACUAUACCAUAUCCAGAGUGUCCAGGUCUCUCCCCUCAAAGAGUUUAGAAUCUAAUGAAGGAAAAACAAUACUGACAAAAGUCACAAUGCAUGUGACUUAAGGGGGAGGAGAGACUCAGGAGAGAGAGAGAAGUAGGAGUGGAAGGAGCUUAGACAAGGACUCACAAGAACUUUUAUGCUCAGUAAUGGGAACUUCUUUCCAACUGCAAGUGAGGAAAGUUUCUUGCUCUAGUCUCAAGUUUUCAAGUCUUUAUUUGCAUCAUUUUCCUUCCAAUAGAAGGAGUAAAGAAACACCACUUCAAGAGUGUAAGUCGGAGAAACAGAAUUUCUCUGAGUGGGGUCAGUCUUCUGAAUACAGGCUACUGUUGGGAAACUGAAUAGAGAACUGUGGGCAUAAAGUGAGACCGCUAUUGGUGAGAAAGGAGAAAAUGGAAUAAUCAAAGUGGGAGUGAUAUGGGCAAAACUAUUCAAAAUGGGAAAGAGAAGAGGCCUGUCAAAGUAUUAAUGUUUAAAAGGGAUCUUUGGCUUAGAGAGUCAGGCAUUUGGAGAACUAUGGGGGAGAAGGAGCAGGACAUCUGACAAGCAGAGGGACUGUCAAAGGAACCUCUGACCCAUUUUUCCCCCUCUUUUGAGUCAAGUACACAUAUUUCCUUUUAAUAAACCCACAUAGUGUGCUUAAACUUC